AACGAACGCUGGCGGCAGGCUUAACACAUGCAAGUCGAACGCAUCGCAAGAUGAGUGGCAGACGGGUGAGUAACGCGUGGGAACAUACCCUUUUCUACGGAAUAGCUCUGGGAAACUGGAAUUAAUACCGUAUACGCCCUACGGGGGAAAGAUUUAUCGGGGAAGGAUUGGCCCGCGUUGGAUUAGCUAGUUGGUGGGGUAAAGGCCCACCAAGGCGACGAUCCAUAGCUGGUCUGAGAGGAUGAUCAGCCACAUUGGGACUGAGACACGGCCCAAACUCCUACGGGAGGCAGCAGUGGGGAAUAUUGGAUAAUGGGCGCAAGCCUGAUCCAGCCAUGCCGCGUGAGUGAUGAAGGCCUUAGGGUUGUAAAGCUCUUUCACCGAUGAAGAUAAUGACGGUAGUCGGAGAAGAAGCCCCGGCUAACUUCGUGCCAGCCGCCGCGGUAAAAC
rnacentral:rRNA from 1 species